CAUCCUCCAAGGCUAAAUACUCCUGACUGACCGAUAGUGAACCAGUACCGUGAGGGAAAGGCGAAAAGAACCCCGGCGAGGGGAGUGAAAAAGAACCUGAAACCGUGUACGUACAAGCAGUGGGAGCCCCACCACCAAAGCAUUCUCUGGUGUUGAAGGCCCUGCAAAGCAGCAUCGCGGUGGCGGAGCGUCGUUUGCGACGCCCAACACACAAAACAAGCGGUGAGUGCUUUGGGGUGGGGUGACUGCGUACCUUUUGUAUAAUGGGUCAGCGACUUAUAUUCUGUAGCAAGGUUAACCGUAUAGGGGAGCCGUAGGGAAACCGAGUCUUAACCGGGCGUUAAGUUGCAGGGUAUAGACCCGAAACCCGGUGAUCUAGCCAUGGGCAGGUUGAAGGUUGGGUAACACUAACUGGAGGACCGAACCGACUAAUGUUGAAAAAUUAGCGGAUGACCUGUGGCUGGGGGUGAAAGGCCAAUCAAACCGGGAGAUAGCUGGUUCUCCCCGAAAGCUAUUUAGGUAGCGCCUCGUGAAUUCAUCUCCGGGGGUAGAGCACUGUUUCGGCUAGGGGGCCAUCCCGGCUUACCAACCCGAUGCAAACUGCGAAUACCGGAGAAUGUUAUCACGGGAGACACACGGCGGGUGCUAACGUCCGUCGUGAAGAGGGAAACAACCCAGACCGCCAGCUAAGGUCCCAAAGUCAUGGUUAAGUGGGAAACGAUGUGGGAAGGCCCAGACAGCCAGGAUGUUGGCUUAGAAGCAGCCAUCAUUUAAAGAAAGCGUAAUAGCUCACUGGUCGAGUCGGCCUGCGCGGAAGAUGUAACGGGGCUAAACCAUGCACCGAAGCUGCGGCAGCGA
rnacentral:rRNA from 1 species